AAAUUUUGCCGGUUAAAGACGUCAAUACAAAAUCACGUUCUUUAACGUAAUUUUAUAGUAAAUAUAGCAUUUACAACGUUUUUGGUUUUAUCUCUCAGUUCUGCGUGCAAUUUGUCACUGUCAUGGUGCUGCAAUAAUUAUUUUCAAGAAUUUUGAAGUGAUACUGUCGACUUCCAGCAAUCCUACUGAAUACUAGGGGAACUAAAGAACAAGGCUUAAUAUAUCCACCUGCUGCCACACACACUACGAAAAUGAAAGUGCCCCAAGUCUUCCUAAUAAUUAUGCUAAUUGAAUAUUGUACAUCAAUGCCUGGAUCAUACAAGAUGGCUAUGAGAGUUAAAGUAGUGCAGCCGAAGAAUACCGCGCAUCUUUCUUCGUCGUCAGUGCCUAAGAAACAGAAGACAUUUUUAGGCGUUGAUCUUCAUCAAAUUGUAAAGAGAAAUGAAGGAAGUAUUUCUGAAAGGAACGUCCCUGAUGUCCGAAGACUAGUAACAAAAAUUUCAAGUAAAGCAACCAAGUCCUUCGCUACAAGAAACGUAGAA